AUUGAACGCUGGCGGCAGGCCUAACACAUGCAAGUCGAGCGGAUGAAGGGAGCUUGCUCCUGGAUUCAGCGGCGGACGGGUGAGUAAUGCCUAGGAAUCUGCCUGGUAGUGGGGGAUAAUGUCCGGAAACGGGCGCUAAUACCGCAUACGUCCUGAGGGAGAAAGUGGGGGAUCUUCGGACCUCACGCUAUCAGAUGAGCCUAGGUCGGAUUAGCUAGUUGGUGGGGUAAAGGCCUACCAAGGCGACGAUCCGUAACUGGUCUGAGAGGAUGAUCAGUCACACUGGAACUGAGACACGGUCCAGACUACUACGGGAGGCAGCAGUGGGGAAUAUUGGACAAUGGGCGAAAGCCUGAUCCAGCCAUGCCGCGUGUGUGAAGAAGGUCUUCGGAUUGUAAAGCACUUUAAGUUGGGAGGAAGGGCAGUAAGUUAAUACCUUGCUGUUUUGACGUUACCAACAGAAUAAGCACCGGCUAACUUCGUG
rnacentral:rRNA from 1 species